GAUGAAGAACGUAGUGAAAUGCGAUAAGUAAUGUGAAUUGCAGAAUUCAGUGAAUCAUCGAAUCUUUGAACGCACAUUGCGCCCCUUGGUAUUCCGAGGGGCAUGCCUGUUCGAGCGUCAUUACACCACUCAAGCUAUGCUUGGUAUUGGGCGUCGUCCUUAGUUGGGCGCGCCUUAAAGACCUCGGCGAGGCCACUCCGGCUUUAGGCGUAGUAGAAUUUAUUCGAACGUCUGUCAAAGGAGAGGAACUCUGCCGACUGAAACCUUUAUUUUUCUAGGUUGACCUCGGAUCAGGUAGGGAUACCAGCUGAACUUAAGCAUAUCAAUAAGCGGAGGA
rnacentral:misc_RNA from 1 species